CACGUAGGGGGCGAGCGUUGUCCGGAUUUAUUGGGCGUAAAGAGCUCGUAGGCGGUUUCGUUAGUCGGGUGUGAAAACCCCAGGCUCAACCUGGGGACGCCACCCGAUACUGCGAUGACUAGAGUCCGGUAGGGGAGUGUGGAAUUCCUGGUGUAGCGGUGAAAUGCGCAGAUAUCAGGAGGAACACCGGUGGCGAAGGCGGGUCUCUGGGCCGUAACUGACGCUGAGGAGCGAAAGCGUGGGGAGCGAACAGG
rnacentral:rRNA from 1 species